UCAGGCCCUAUCAGCGGGCGACAUCGCGGCCGCAGUACGGCACUACACGGCCGCCAUCGCCCUGGAUGCCAACAACCACGUCCUGUACAGCAACCGCUCGGCUGCCUACGCCAAGCAGGGCGACUACAGCCGGGCAUUGGCUGAUGCCUGUAGGACCAUCGAGCUGCGACCCGACUGGGCCAAGGGUUACUCCCGUAAAGCAGCAGCCCUGGAGUUCCUAAAUCGCUUUGAAGAAGCCAAGGCCACGUAUGAGGAAGGGUUAAAGCACGAGCC